rnacentral:rRNA from 1 species
AGAGUUUGAUCCUGGCUCAGAUUGAACGCUGGCGGCGUGCCUAACACAUGCAAGUCGAGCGGUAGCAGGUGUAGCAAUACAUGCUGACGAGCGGCGAACGGGUGAGUAAUGCUUCGGAAUCUACCCACGGGUGGGGAAUAACCAACCGAAAGGUUGGCUAAUACCGCAUAAGUCCUACGGGGGAAAGCGGGGAGUCGAAGACCUCGCGCCGGUGGAUGAGCCGAAGCCGGAUUAGCUAGUUGGUAGGGUAAUGGCCUACCAAGGCGACGAUCCGUAGCUGGUCUGAGAGGACGGACCAGCCACACUGGGACUGAGACACGGCCCAGACUCCUACGGGAGGCGAC